UAGGUCCUACGGGGCGCAGCAGUGGGGAAUAUUGGGCAAUGGGCGCAAGCCUGACCCAGCAACGCCGCGUGAAGGAAGAAGGCUUUCGGGUUGUAAACUUCUUUUCUUAGGGACGAAGAAAGUGACGGUACCUAAGGAAUAAGCCACGGCUAACUACGUGCCAGCAGCCGCGGUAAUACGUAGGUGGCAAGCGUUAUCCGGAUUUACUGGGUGUAAAGGGCGUGUAGGCGGGGCUGCAAGUUAGAU
rnacentral:rRNA from 1 species